GAGCUGGCCAAUGAGUUGUCG
rnacentral:miRNA from 1 species